GGAUACAGCUGGGCCAGCAGCGGCGGUAAAAGUGGGGGUGCAAGAGUUAAGCGGAAUUAAGUGGCGUAAAGAGGACGUAGGUGGCUGGGUAAGGUAGAUGUGCAAUCCCGGGGUUUAACUUGGGAAGUUGAAUCAAGACUGCCUUGCUAGAGUGUGGAAGAGGGAAGCGGAAUGCCAGGUGUGGCGGUGAAAUGCGUAGAUAUCUGGAGGAACAUCAGUGGCGAAGGCGGCUUCCUGGUCCAACACUGACACUGAGGUGCGAAAGCGUGGGGAGCAAACAGGAUUAGAUACCCAGUAGUC
rnacentral:rRNA from 1 species